rnacentral:sRNA from 2 species
AUGUCCCACUCGUACACUCCGGCUCUGAGCGCGCCGUCCGCCCCCACCUGACGACCGCUCGCCGCGUUUUGUUGCCC